AUUGAACGCUGGCGGCAGGCCUAACACAUGCAAGUCGAACGAGCGGCGGACGGGUGAGUAAUGUAUGGGGAUCUGCCUGAUGGAGGGGGAUAACUACUGGAAACGGUAGCUAAUACCGCAUACCAUCAGAUGAACCCAUAUGGGAUUAGCUAGUAGGUGUGGUAAAGGCUCACCUAGGCGACGAUCCCUAGCUGGUCUGAGAGGAUGACCAGCCACACGGGGACUGAGACACGGUCCAGACUCCUACGGGAGGCAGCAGUGGGGAAUAUUGCACAAUGGGCGCAAGCCUGAUGCAGCCAUGCCGCGUGUAUGAAGAAGGCCUUCGGGUUGUAAAGUACUUUCAGUGGGGAGGCGUUACCCGCAGAAGAAGCACCGGCUAACUCCGUGCCAGCAGCCGCGGUAAUAC
rnacentral:rRNA from 1 species